GGCACACGGCUCAGUAACACGUAGUCAACAUGCCCAGGGGACGUGGAUAACCUCGGGAAACUGAGGAUAAACCGCGAUAGGCCAAGAUUUCUGGAAUGGAUCAUGGCUGAAACCUAUAUGGCCCCUGGAUUGGACUGCGGCCGAUCAGGCUGUUGGUGAGGUAAUGGCCCACCAAACCUGUAACCGGUACGGGCUCUGAGAGGAGGAGCCCGGAGAUGGGCACUGAGACAAGGGCCCAGGCCCUAUGGGGCGCAGCAGGCGCGAAACCUCUGCAAUAGGCGAAAGCUUGACAGGGUUACUCUGAGUGAUGUCCGUUAAGGGCAUCUUUUGGCACUUCUAAAAAUAGUGUAGAAUAAGGGGUGGGCAAGUCUGGUGUCAGCCGCCGCGGUAAUACCAGCACCCCGAGUGGUCGGGACGAUUAUUGGGCCUAAAGCAUCCGUAGCCGGUUCUGCAAGUCCUCCGUUAAAUCCACCUGCUCAACAGAUGGGCCGCGGGGGAUACUACAGGGCUAGGAGGCGGGAGAGGCAAGCGGUACUCGGUGGGUAGGGGUAAAAUCCUCUGAUCCACCGAAGACCACCAGUGGCGAAGGCGGCUUGCCAGAACGCGCUCGACGGUGAGGGAUGAAAGCUGGGGGAGCAAACCGGAUUAGAUACCCGGGUAGUCCCAGCUGUAAACGAUGCAGACUCGGUGAUGAAAAGGCUUCGU
rnacentral:rRNA from 1 species